rnacentral:rRNA from 1 species
AUUGAACGCUGGCGGCAGGCCUAACACAUUCCAGUCGAGCGGAGCGGCGGACGGGUGAGUAAUGUCUAGGAAUCUGCCUGGCAUUGGGGGAUAACGUCCGGAAAAGGGCGCUAAUACCGCACACUAUCCGAUGAGCCUAGGUCGGAUUAGCUAGGUGGUGGGGUAAAGGCCUACCAAGGCGACGAUCCGUAACUGGUCUGCGAGGAUGAUCAGUCACACUGGACUUGAGACACGGUCCAGACUCCUAAGGGAGGCAGCAGUGGGGAAUAUUGGACAAUGGGCGAAAGCCUGAUCCAGCCAUGCCGCGUGUGUGAAGAAGGUCUUCGGAUUGUAAAGCACUUUAAGUUGGGAGGCGUUACCAGCAGAAUAAGCACCGGCUAACUUCGUGCCAGCAGCCGCGGUAAUUC